UCUCCAUCAAAUGGGGAGUAAUAAUAAUACACUUUAUAUAUUUUGAAUAUUUUUUACUUUGUCAAUAAUAGUAUUCAAAAAAAAAAGUGUUAAUUUGGACAGAUGUGCCACUAUUGUAGGUGGAAAGUUCAGAAGAUUGAAUACAUUAAGUUAUUUAAUUUAUGUUUGUAAACAAUGAUAAACUAUUGAUAAUAAAAAGCGAUUUGGAGCAAAGUUCGGUUCGGUUACAUGUUUUGAAAGACCAAAUUAUUUACGACUAUUUACCAUUAUUAAACUGGUAGAAAACAUAAAGCGUGCAAAUGUAAAAUAAUGAAAUUGUUACACUGUACAUAUUUGUAAUUUUAUCCCUAUGUUUUUUUCUGGUUUUUCCCAAUUAUUUUAAAAAUAACUUAGAAAAUCAGAAAAAUUACUUCUAAAAUACGAACAAGAUAAAAUUUCCUUUUAAAAAAGAUGCUACGCUUGAUACAUCGGAG